UUACGGCCAUAUCACGUUAAAACAUCGGUUCCCCUGCGAUGACCGAAGUUAAGCAACGUUGAGUUUGGUCAGUACUUAGAUGGGUGCCCGCUUGAGAAUAUCAGUUGUUGUA